AUUGAACGCUGGCGGCAGGCCUAACACAUGCAAGUCGAACGAGUGGCGGACGGGUGAGUAAUGUCUGGGAAACUGCCCGAUGGAGGGGGAUAACUACUGGAAACGGUAGCUCAUACCGCAUACCAUCGGAUGUGCCCCGAUGGGAUUAGCUUUUUGGUGGGGGAAAGGCCUACCAAGGCGACGAUCCGUAACUGGUCUGAGAGGAUGAUCAGUAACACUGGAACGGAGACACGGUCCAGACGCCUACGGGAGGCAGCAGUGGUGAAUAUUGGACAAGGGGCGAAAGCCUGAUCCAGCCAUGCCGCGUGUGUGAAGAAGGUCUUCGGAUUGUAAAGCACUUUAAGUUGGGAGGCGUUACCAGCAGAAUAAGCACCGGCUAACUUCGUGCCAGCAGCCGCGGUAAUUC
rnacentral:rRNA from 1 species